CGAACGCUGGCGGCACGCCUAACACAUGCAAGUCGAGCGGGAUCUUCGGAUCUAGCGGCGGACGGGUUAGUAACGCGUGGGAACGUACCCAGAUCUACGGAAUAGCCUCGGGAAACUGAGAGUAAUACCGUAUACGCCCUUCGGGGGAAAGAUUUAUCGGAUUUGGAUCGGCCCGCGUAAGAUUAGAUAGUUGGUGGGGUAAUGGCCUACCAAGUCUACGAUCUUUAGCUGGUUUGAGAGGAUGAUCAGCAACACUGGGACUGAGACACGGCCCAGACUCCUACGGGAGGCAGCAGUGGGGAAUCUUAGACAAUGGGCGCAAGCCUGAUCUAGCGAUGCCGCGUGAGUGAUGAAGGCCUUAGGGUCGUAAAGCUCUUUCGCCUGUGAAGAUAAUGACGGUAGCAGGUAAAGAAACCCCGGCUAACUCC
rnacentral:rRNA from 1 species